rnacentral:rRNA from 1 species
UACGUAGGCAGCGAGCGUUGUUCGGAGUUACUGGGCGUAAAGAGUGCGUAGGCGGUUUUCUAAGUUUGGUGUGAAAUCUCCCGGCUUAACUGGGAGGGUGCGCCGAAAACUGGAAGGCUUGAGUAUGGGAGAGGUAAGCGGAAUUCCUGGUGUAGCGGUGAAUGACGUAGAUAUCAGGAGGAACACCUGCGGUGUAGACGGCUUACUGGACCAUAACUGACGCUGAGGCACGAAAGCGUGGGUAGCAAACAGG